rnacentral:rRNA from 1 species
GUAGGGUGCGAGCGUGUCCGGGAUUUAUUGGGCGUAAAGGGCUCGUAGGUGGUUGAUCGCGUCGGAAGUGUAAUCUUGGGGCUUAACCUGAGCGUGCUUUCGAUACGGGUUGACUUGAGGAAGGUAGGGGAGAAUGGAAUUCCUGGUGGAGCGGUGGAAUGCGCAGAUAUCAGGAGGAACACCAGUGGCGAAGGCGGUUCUCUGGGCCUUUCCUGACGCUGAGGAGCGAAAGCGUGGGGAGCGAACAGGCUUAGAUACCCUGGUAGUCCACGCUGUAAACGGUGGGUACUAGGUGUGGGGUCCAUUCCACGGGUUCCGCGCCGUAGCUAACGCUUUAAGUACCCCGCCUGGGGAGUACGGCCGCAAGGCUAAAACUCAAAGGAAUUGACGGGGCCCCGCACAAGCGGCGGAGCAUGCGGAUUAAUUCGAUGCAACGCGUAGAACCUUACCUGGGUUUGACAUGGAUCGGGAGUGCUCAGAGAUGGGUGUGCCUCUUUUGGGGUCGGUUCACAGGUGGUGCAUGGCUGUCGUCAGCUCGUGUCGUGAGAUGUUGGGUUAAGUCCCGCAACGAGCGCAACCCUUGUUCACUGUUGCCAGCACGUUAUGGUGGGGACUCAGUGGAGACCGCCGGGGUCAACUCGGAGGAAGGUGGGGAUGACGUCAAGUCAUCAUGCCCCUUAUGUCCAGGGCUUCACGCAUGCUACAAUGGCUGGUACAGAGAGUGGCGAGCCUGUGAGGGUGAGCGAAUCUCGGAAAGCCGGUCUCAGUUCGGAUUGGGGUCUGCAACUCGACCUCAUGAAGUUGGAGUCGCUAGUAAUCGCAGAUCAGCAACGCUGCGGUGAAUACGUUCCCGGGGCUU